rnacentral:lncRNA from 1 species
AGAGGAAGAUGGUGUAGUCACGGUGUCACGGCUUUGAAAAAGCUGCUGGUACCUUGAUCGUAACUGUGACAGCAAGAUCAUUCCCUGGAUCGAUGGCUGCUGAGUGGAAUGCGGUGGAUCUGGAUCGAUGGCUGCUCGUACUUUUUUUUUCUUAGACAAUCUCGGUGCCAUAAGAAUACCUGCAAUAUAUAGUCAAAUGAAAUCAAUGUUAAGAUUUUAAACUAAAUCAACUGAGGUCAACUUUAAGAUAUUCAUGUAGGCAGUUUAUCAUUAAGUUAAAGCUAGUUUAUCACUGCAUAGUCUAUAUAUAUGUGUAGGUAGUUUACUAUUAUACAUGUGUAUAUACAAUUUUUUAUGUAUGUUUAUACUAUAGAGUCCCCAAAAAAAGAUCAUUGCAAUCUCACAAUUGUAUCAUAGGAAAACAUUAGUUAGAGAAAGAGAAAAAAAUUUUGUGCUGCAGUUAGAAUUGUACCGGCAAGAUGCACUUACCAACUCCAAAUCAGCCACACCAACGAAGCAAUAAUUUGCUGCAUGACAUUGAGCAGUUGGAAAUCAAAAUAAAUCAUUGUCAUGGUCAUUGUCAUUAUCAUUCUAUUGAUCAUCAUCUUCGGUACAAUAUUCUGCCAAGGUAUUUUCUUUAUCUUUACUAUCCCUUGUUGCUAACUCUUCUACUUGAUGAUAUAAAUCUCGGAUUGCAUUCAACAAAGUAUCAUCUAUUAUAUCAGGUUCGACAUCAUCUUUAUCUAAUGACUCUAUGUGACAUUCCUCAAUAUCUGCAGGAGUCAUUUCAAGACCAUCUUUAUCAUCAGAAUCUUCUUCUAUUUUUGCACCAAUAGAGAUGUCAUACACAUGUCUAUACUGAUAUUCUUGCACAACACAUCAGUUUUGUCCCAGUUUCAUGUCUUGUAAAUAAUAAACUUGCUUCGCUUGAUUUGCAAGAAUAAAUGGAUCAUUCUUAUACCAUAAUCUGGUUACAUUUAUGCUUUGCACAUUUCUAUUGAUCCUAACAUUAGCAUUUCUAGAUCCAAGAUCAUACCACUUGCACUUAAAAAGAGCAACACUUUUAUACUUGACAUAAUUCAAUUGAAUAAUAUCUAUUAAUACCCCAAAGAAAUCGAUGAUAACAUCUUCAUGGUUUCCUUUUACCACAAUAUUACUAUUUUAUGACUUUCUACGAGAAUCACGAACUUCAGUGUGGAAUCACACGUCGUUUGCAAUACAUCCCGAGUACUUUUGUAUCAAAACAUGAGGUCCACAUGCCAAUGCAUAUAAAUACUCGAUUCUACUUUUUUUGCCUGGUCUGUACAAUGUUGCCAUCUACCAUUAUGUAAAAUAAAUUAUAUUAGUUGAAUAUAUGAAAAUACAAUACGUAUGCACACAAACAAUUUUGUAGAGUUUGUAUUUUUAUCCGAUGCUUUAUCCACAAAAAAAAUUAUUCUCUACAUUUGUUCUCAACAUUUAACGAACUUUGCUCCAUCAGCUCAACCUUAUGCUCUCUAACAAAAAGGUAUCAUUUACUACAUAUUUCUAUAUCGAAUAUUUUAAUAAUAAAAUUUAGGUAGUAAGAACUUACUCAAAAUAAGACUCAAUCUCUUCACAAUUGGUAAGUACAUACCAAUGAGUCAUAUCUUGCUCUUUUUUGGGUGGAAAAACAACCUGAGUUACUCCAAAUAUCCUAAUUUGUUGGAAAAAUACUGUUAUGUCAUCGUUAUUGGCUUUAUCAUUAUUUGGCUCAUCCACAUUAAAAUAGAUCUUGAUACUUCGAAGGUACAUAAAACAAAAUGUCAAGCAUUACUUGACUACAUAUGCCUUAGCAAUAAAUCCUUCUGGACGAGCUUUAUUUCGAACAAAUCUCUUUAGAGAGUCAAAAAAGCUAAAUUUAAAAUUUAAAAUAAUUACAUAAUAUAAAUAAUUACCUAAAUUUAAAGUUCAGAAUCUAAAAGAAGUUACUAUGAUACCUUUCGAUUGGAUACAUCCAUCGAUAUGCCACUGGUCCACCUAGCAAGGCUUCAUUUGGCAAAUGAACAACCAAAUGUACUAUCACAUCAAAGAAAGCUGAUGAAAAAAUUAUUUUAAAUUUAUAUAGCAUCAAGGAUAUAUUUGUACACAUCUCGAUAUCAUCCACAAUCAAAGUUUGACGACAUAUUUGAUGGAAGAAGUCACCUAACUCCAUCAAUGUAGCUGUCACAUCCUUCUUCAAGAUUCUACAUGUGCCUAUAGGAAGAAUGCUUUCUAGGAGAACAUGACAAUCAUCGAUUUUUAGUCCCAUAAUCUUUUUUUCCUCAACAUUGAUACAUCGAGAUAUAUUAGAUGCAUAUCCACCCAAAACUUUAUCCCUUUAAGAAACUCACAGAAACUCUUUUUUUUAGUGUUUGAUAUUGUGUAGCAUGCAGGAGGAAUUAUGUAGGAUCCGUCAUUUCUCUUCACCAAGUCCAAAUUUCUUUUGAAUUUUUUUAUCUUCCAAGUCGAGUCUAGCCUUGAUAGUGUCCUUUAUUUCACCUUCAAGAUUUAACAAGGUACCAAGGAUAUUGUCAUAAAUAUUCUUUUUAAUACGCAUGACAUCAAGGUUAUGCCUCAAUCUCAACUUACACCAAUAUGGCAACUCAAAAAGAAUAGUCUUUUUUGUCUGAUUCAACUCUUCUGUUGAUCUCGAUCUCUUUUUAUUAUUAGAAUACUUUCUAUAGUCUAUGUUCUUCAAAUGGGAUAGUUAUUGCAUCACAUCAUCUCCAUUUGGUAAGACAGGUGAGGGUCGAUAGUCCACCUUACCAUCAAACCUCUUGCUCUUCCUCCAUGCAUGGUCAUGAGGAAGAAAACACCGAUGACUCAGGUAACCAAUCUUGCUUCUCAAUUUAUGAGAAAGAGUAUGCUUAUUGCAAACAGGAUAAGCCAUAUACCCUUUAGUGACCCAUCCAGAAAUAUUACCAUAAGCUGAAAAAUCAUUAAUAGUCCAUAAUAGAACCGCAUGCAUUCGAAAAUUUUGGCCGUAUGAAGCAUCGAAAAUAUCAAUACCCUUAUCCCAUAACUCAUUCAACUCAUCUACUAAUGGCUUUAAGUAGAUAUCAAUAUCUCUAUUCGGUCCUUUCGGACCUAGAAUAAGUAGUGACAGCAUAAAGAAUGACUCAUCCAUGUACAUCUAAGGGGGUAAAUUAUAUACCAAAAGAACAAUAAGCCACAUACUAUAGGCAUUAGACAUGUUAUCAAAUGGAUUGAAUCCAUCUGUUCUAGGUCAAGCCUCACAUUACGGGGUUCUCUAGCAAACUCUGGAUACUAUUUGUCAAAGUUCUUCCAAGAUUCACCAUCAGACGGAUGAAUCAUGAUGUUACUCUCACUUCUAGAUCUAUCUUUGUGCUAUCUCAUUUCUUUAGCUGUUUUUCUCGAUAUAAAUAAUCGUUGCAAUCUAAACUUCAACGAAAAGUACCAUAAUGCUUUAUAAGGGAUCUUCUUAUCCUUACCAUUAUUAAUCAUCCAUCUCGACAUUCCACACUUUGGACAACUGUCACAGUUUUCAUGCUCUUUCCAAAAGAGAGCACAGUCAUAUUUACAUGCAUGUAUUGGCACAUAACCCAAGCCCAAGUUCCAUAGAAAGUGAUUUGCUGCAUAGUAAGACUUUGGCAAGGAUUGACCACUGGGCAAGACAUCUCUUAGCAAUGAUAAUAGCAUAUCAAAAGACUUAUUACUCCAUUUGUUGUAUACUUUCAAAUGGAGUAACUUUACAAUAAAUGAUAAUUUUGAAAAUUUUGUACAUUCUGGAUACAACUCUUUGGUAGCUUCCAUCAAUAAAUCAUUAAAAACAUCGGUACAAGAACAACUAGCACCUGUAGAAGUCCUCAAAUUUUUCUCAAUAGGAUAAUCGUUAAAGAAACUAUCAACGUCACGUAGCAAGUCUCUUAUCUCGUCGUCAUCAUCAUCCUCAUUUGAGUCAUUGCCUAAAUCGUCACUUUCUGUAUCUGCAAAUAGAAAUCUAUCUCGAUUAUCGAAAAAUUGAAAUUUUGUCCAUUCACCAUGAAACAUCCAUCGAGUGUAUGAUUGAUCCAUGCCAAAUCUCAAUAGAUGAUCGAAGACAUUCUCUCAAGGCUCCAUAUAAAUGUUCAAGCAACGUGAACAAGGACACCGAAUUUCACAAUCUUUGCCUUGAUUUUGAGCCACAAAAGUCAUAAAUGAUUUGACUUCCUUUAUAUAUUCGCGAGAGAACUUAACACAAUUCAUCCAAUACUUAUUCAUGUUAUAUACAAAUACCUAUCAUUAAAACCCAAACAAACUUCAGCAAGUGUGCCAUUUAAAUUACAUCUUUACAAAAAAAUGGCAAGAAAAAAAGGGCAAAAAAAGAAGAGCAGUAGGGCCGGCAUUAACAUAGAAAAACAUGAAUUAUUUAUUCAGAUCAAGUAUUGGGCUGGUUCGAAUUUAAACUUUCAAAUAUUUACAGUCUCCUACAACUCGCAUCUAAAUAUUUUCCUACUUUUUAUAAUACCUCNNNNNNNNNNNNNNNNNNNNAUUACAUCUUUACAAAAAAAUGGCAAGAAAAAAAGGGCAAAAAAAGAAGAGCAGUAGGGCCGGCAUUAACAUAGAAAAACAUGAAUUAUUUAUUCAGAUCAAGUAUUGGGCUGGUUCGAAUUUAAACUUUCAAAUAUUUACAGUCUCCUACAACUCGCAUCUAAAUAUUUUCCUACUUUUUUAUAAUACCUCCCUCUCUCUCUCUCUCUCACCCGCAUAGACAUACAUGCAUACAUACAUAUGUAUACGUAUAUAUAUAUGUAUAUGUAUAACACACACCCCACGUGGUACUAGCUAGAAUAUUUGCAACUACACUUGAUUUCUUCUGACCAGUGGCAUGGAUCAACUUGCGAAGUUUGUGGAAGCAAAUGUUUAAAGUUUUCCCCUCAAAAAAAAAGAAAAAAUGAAAAUAAAAUAAUCAAAAGAAUAAGUAUUUGCAAAUCACAACCUAGUUAGAUAUGGAUUGCAUGUUUCUAACAGCAUGAAUCAAAAAGAAAAGGACAGCUUUCCCUUUAUAAAAAACCAACUACCUCACUGAAUUGGGUAUGGACCAUAAUUAAUAGCCAACAAAAGUCUGCAUACUAUCGUAAUAUCUUAUAACUAAGAAUUAUUCCAUUGAAUUCAUACUCAAUUCCUAACCUAGUCAAAGUUGAGCAAGCUUUGAUAUAUUCUUUUUUUUCUUAAAUGUGAUUUUGACCCUGACAAACCACCCAUAUUGGUAGUCCUGCAAUGUGUGCCCUACCAUAUACUAUGAUUUUUUUUUUGAGAACUAACAAUGCCUGCUUGCAUUCUCCAUUGUUUUCUUUUUGAUUCUCUCCUUGAAUCAUACUUUAGUGACAAACAAUAGAAAAAAGAGAUUCUUGCAUUAUUUUCUUUUUGAUUCCCUCCCUAAAUCAUACUUUAGUGACAAACAAUAGAUAAAGGAUAAUCUCGCCUAAUAAAUUUAUUUUCUUUCACCUUCUUAAUUAAUUAGCAACCAAUGGAUAUCUUAAAAUAUGUAAAUUAUUCACAAUCUAAUGUUAACUUGAGGAAAGAUAUUCACAAUCUAAUGUCAAAGCAUGUAAAUUAUUUUUUUUAAUUUGAUUGGUAGCUAUCACCACAGCCCAUAGAGAAGGGGACCAUUCAAACACGUGUGUUCAGAAUGCCAAAGCAAAGCCAAAUGAACAGCGAAGAAAGAAUUACAAAUCAAGAAAAAUGAUUAGCAACAAACAACUUGAGAAAGAUUAAAUUAGGGAACAAGUAAUACCUGAACCGAUGAUGAUGAUGGCGACGAGCGAAGAUGGGAAGACCGGUGAUGAUGAUGGCAAUGAGCGA